GCAACGAAUAUUCCGCAAUGGACGAAAGUCUGACGGAGCGACGCCGCGUGCAGGAAUAAGCCCUUCGGGGUGUAAACUGCUGUCAGGGAUCACCAAGCAAAGGGGACGAAUAGUCCUCUGCGUUGAGGAAUCCCGGAGGAAGCCACGGCUAACUUCGUGCCAGCAGCCGCGGUAAUACGAAGGUGGCAAGCGUUGUUCGGAAUCACUGGGCUUAAAGAGCACGUAGGCGGCCUGUCAAGCGUCUUGUGAAAUCCCUCGGCUCAACCGAGGAAUGGCUGGGCGAACUGGCAGGCUUGAGGCAGGUAGGGGCGCACGGAACUCUUGGUGGAGCGGUGGAAUGCGUAGAUAUCAAGAGGAACGCCGGUGGUGAAGACGGUGCGCUGGGCCUGUCCUGACGCUGAGGUGCGAAAGCCAGGGGAGCAAACGGGAUUAGAUACCCGGGUAGUCC
rnacentral:rRNA from 1 species